UACAGAGGGGGCAAGCGUUGUUCGGAAUUACUGGGCGUAAAGCGUGCGCAGGCGGUUUUGUAAGUCAGAUGUGAAAUCCCCGGGCUUAACCUGGGAACUGCGUUUGAAACUACAAGGCUAGAGUGUGGCAGAGGGGGGUGGAAUUCCACGUGUAGCAGUGAAAUGCGUAGAGAUGUGGAGGAACACCGAUGGCGAAGGCAGCCCCCUGGGCUAACACUGACGCUCAUGCACGAAAGCGUGGGGAGCAAACAGG
rnacentral:rRNA from 1 species